CGAUAACUGUCUGAAAGAUUUCCCACAUUGGUCACAGGUGUACGGUUUCUCUCCACUAUGGAUGCGUUGGUGUUGUUGUUGGCUCGAUAACUGGCUGAAACAUUUCCCACAUUGGUCACAGGUAACUGAAGUCUGUCUCCAUUUGUCUUGUUGUGUUCCUG